GCAAGAUUUGAUGUAAUGGGUAAUUUGAAAAAUUUUACAAUUUUUUUUUUGGAAACUAAGGCCUUGUUUAGUUCCGAUUUUUUUUGGGUACUAUAACACUUUUGUUUUUAUUUGACAAUUAUUAUCCAAUCAUAGACUAAUAACUAGGCUCAAAAGAUUCAUCUCAUGAUUUAUAGGUAAAUUGUGCAAUUAGUUUGUGUUUUCGUCGAUAUUUAAUAUUUUAUGCAUAACGUAAAUUUCGAUGUGAUGAGAAAUAAAGUUUUUUGUUUUUUGGUGAACUGAACAAGACGCCUAAUGCGAAAAUAUUUUGGUUUUUGCUACUGUCGCAUUUUCGUUUGUUUGUGGCAAAUAUUGUCCAAUUAUAGACUAAUAACUAUGAUCAAAAGAUUCGUCUCGCGAUUUAUAGGUAAACUUUGUAAUUAUUUUUUAUUUUCAUCUAUAUUUAAUGCUUCAUACAUGUGUCGAAAGAUUCGAUGUGACGAGAAAUCUUGAAAACUUUUUGGUUUUCGGCGUGA
rnacentral:lncRNA from 1 species